rnacentral:rRNA from 1 species
UACAGAGGGGGCAAGCGUUAUUCGGAAUUAUUGGGCGUAAAGGGCGCGUAGGCGGUUUUUUAAGUCGGAUGUGCAAUCCCUGGGCUCAACCCAGGAACUGCAUCCGAGACUGGAAGGCUAGAGUACUGGAGAGGGUGGUGGAAUUCCUGGUGUAGCGGUGAAAUGCGCAGAUAUCAGGAGGAACACCGGUGGCGAAGGCGGGUCUCUGGGCAGUAACUGACGCUGAGGAACGAAAGCGUGGGUAGCGAACAGG